GGGGAAGGGUGCUUGCUCCUGACCUAGCGGCGGACGGGUGAGUAUGCUAGGAAUCUGCCUAUUAGUGGGGGACAACAUUCCGAAAGGAAUGCUAAUACCGCAUACGCCCUACGGGGGAAAGCAGGGGAUCUUCGGACCUUGCGCUAAUAGAUGAGCCUAAGUCAGAUUAGCUAGUUGGUGGGGUAAAGGCCUACCAAGGCGACGAUCUGUAGCGGGUCUGAGAGGAUGAUCCGCCACACUGGGACUGAGACACGGCCCAGACUCCUACGGGAGGCAGCAGUGGGGAAUAUUGGACAAUGGGCGAAAGCCUGAUCCAGCCAUGCCGCGUGUGUGAAGAAGGCCUUUUGGUUGUAAAGCACUUUAAGCGAGGAGGAGGCUACUGAGAUUAAUACUCUUGGAUAGUGGACGUUACUCGCAGAAUAAGCACCGGCUAACUCUGUGCCAGCAGCCGCGGUAAUACAGAGGGUGCGAGCGUUAAUCGGAUUUACUGGGCGUAAAGC
rnacentral:rRNA from 1 species